GAAAGAAAGAAAGAAAGAAAGAAAGAAAGAAAGAAAGAAAGAAAGAAAGAAAGAAAGAAAGAAAGAAAAGAAAAGAAAAGAAAAGAAAAAGCCAUCCUGUAUCAAAAGAUGAAACGUUAUGGGGGUUAGUUAUGGAAAAGUAAUAUAGCCUUUUUAAAAACUCUCAAGCUGCAGUGCUUAGGAACUGAAGGGCAGAGUGUUCCUUUCCUCUGUUACUGCUGCAUGACCUGUGCUCAACUAUACGUACUGCAGCCUUAAAGCCUGCUCUUGCUCCCCAGGAGACAAAUGCUAAAGCAUUCUUAGACCUUCGUGCGUGGGGGGGAGAGCUCUCAGUAUAAUUUCAUGGAUAAAUAUUGUAUGCUCUGUGCCUUUUCUUAUGUACUUACAGAAAUGGAAGUAAGCUGGUGCACACUCUGGUGGCCAGUCCUACAGAGAGAACUCACGGGGAUGACACAGUAAAUUACACUUGCAGACUUGCCAUGCAUUGUGCACCAUUUUCUCCUCUGCACAUUUGUUAUGUUUAAGACGAGAAAGCAUAUUCCUCUCAGUUAAGCUUCUUAGAAACGUCCUUACUCCCAAACCUAUGUAUUUUAGUUACCAGUCUUUUGAUUUUAAAGGCUUAAUCUGAGUUUGUUUGGUCAGAUCCGCUUUCUGUUCAGUUUCUCUGCUCACAGCUCCCAGCCUGUUUGAAAAACAAAAGCAAAAACAGGAUGUCCUGUCAUUCUGUCUUUCCUUGGGCUAUAAAAGCAGGGCAAGCCAGUGCUAUGUUACUUUGGCUGUAGGUGUCAGAAGAUGAAAUUCUGCUGAACUUUGAAGAGAGGAGGCUGAAGUGUCAUGACAUGCCAGCAACUACAGAAGAGGGAAAACAACAAGUGAUUCUUCUUGCAGGGCUCAGGUGUGAACUUGAAGACAGGGCAAGGAGGAAAGGAGGGGAGACGUGGAGCUGCAGCCCUCUUGCCCAUGGCCUGGGCAGGUGGCUGCUGCUGCUGUUCCACUUCUUUGAAGGGUAACCCGAUCAGGCCCUGGGACUGCUCCCUAAGACAUGAUUGUCCUCCACCUUUGGCUGCCCUUCCCGCAGGGCUGUUGCUUAAGGCUGAAAACCCGUCACUCAGGAAAAGCAGGCGGCCUGCUCCCUCUAUAGGCUUUUCUGGUUGUUGCUGCCAUGAACCGGCUGCCCAGGGGAUCAGAGCUGCGUGCGGGUUUUGAAAGCUGACAUAAACUCUUACGUGAGGGAAGAGACACAGUCUGAACCACGGCACGCUUCCUCCCCAGCGCCUGCUCUCCUGACUGCACCAGCACUGCAGUUCCUGAUGCCAUUCUGAUAACAAAAGCAAUCUGGAUUCAGAGCAUCCUCUUCGUCACUUGGAUCAGCCCAGGGAGCCGCUGUGCAGCCCAGCCCCAGCAGCCGCUGCAGAGCUGCAUGGGGGGCGGCAGGGUGGGAGGCAGGCAUCCCCAGGCUGCAGCUCCCCUGUCUGCUGCUGGCAUGGGUAGCAGAGGGGAUUCCCCUGCGGUGCCUGAAACAGCGCUGCAGGGAAAGAUCCAACACAUCUGUGGGUUAUAUAUUAACAGUCAGCAGUGACCUUCUUGCAGCGUGGCGGAGUAACCGUCUCACUGAAGCACUGAUGAAGAAGUGGCAGCUCUUUCCGCUCCGCAGAGCGCAGGUGUUGGCACCGAGCAGAAGGCUGCCAGACCAUUUCCAUGCAAUGAUACCGUUACCAAUUGCUCCUUACUUUUUAAAAUGUGAAUACAUUGUUCUGAAGUUUUCGGUACUAAAUGAACGGCUGUUUGUUGCGGGGAACGGAAGGGAGACAACAGGAGAAGUCUUCACUAAAACGUUGA
ensembl:lncRNA